rnacentral:rRNA from 1 species
GAUGAACGCUGGCGGCGUGCCUAAUACAUGCAAGUCGAGCGAACAGAUGAGGAGCUUGCUCCUCUGACGUUAGCGGCGGACGGGUGAGUAACACGUGGAUAACCUACCUAUAAGACUGGGAUAACUUCGGGAAACCGGAGCUAAUACCGGAUAAUAUAUUGAACCGCAUGGUUCAAUAGUGAAAGACGGUUUUGCUGUCACUUAUAGAUGGAUCCGCGCCGCAUUAGCUAGUUGGUAAGGUAACGGCUUACCAAGGCAACGAUGCGUAGCCGACCUGAGAGGGUGAUCGGCCACACGGGAGCUGAGACACGGUCCAGACUCCUACGGGAGGCAGCAGUAGGGAAUCUUCCGCAAUGGGCGAAAGCCUGACGGAGCAACGCCGCGUGAGUGAUGAAGGUCUUCGGAGCGUAAAACUCUGUUAUUAGGGAAGAACAAAUGUGUAAGUAACUAUGCACGUCUUGACGGUACCUAAUCAGAAAGCCACGGCUAACUACGUG